UACGUAGGGUGCGAGCGUUGUCCGGAAUUACUGGGCGUAAAGGGCGCGUAGGCGGCCUUCUAAGUCGAACGUGAAAUCCCCGGGCUCAACCCGGGAACUGCGUCCGAUACUGGAAGGCUUGAAUCCGGGAGAGGGAUGCGGAAUUCCAGGUGUAGCGGUGAAAUGCGUAGAUAUCUGGAGGAACACCGGUGGCGAAGGCGGCAUCCUGGACCGGCAUUGACGCUGAGGAGCGAAAGCGUGGGGAGCGAACAGG
rnacentral:rRNA from 1 species